ensembl:snoRNA
UCCUGGGUGAGAAAUGAUGAGCAUGUCAGUAUUCUUCAUGCCAAAGUGAAGACAUGAGAUCCAACUCUGAGCUCACCAUAU